rnacentral:rRNA from 1 species
AUGUCGUUCCACCGCGGCAGCAGCUCCGGCACCGGCGGCGGCGACGGACCGAGCGCGUGGCCGUCGAGCCUGAGCACGCCGGAGACAGAGGAGCUAUACCGGUUUGGGCUCCUCGUGCCGCCGGGUUGCCGUCUGCCACACGACUGGAAGCUCGACAAGGACGGCUACCCGAGGCGUGGGCCCGGCGCCACCGCGGAGGAGAAGCGGACCGGCGGCCGCAAAAACAUCGCCGGCCGUCACGCAUUCUGGGACGGCAAAGACUACGCCGUCGUCAUUCGCGCAUGCCGGCUCGUGGAGUCCGGCGGCACGGCAGACCUCGUCCCGCGCCCCCGUCCAGAAUCACGCGGCCGACGGGCCCCUCCACCACCUGCGUCGGCGACUGCCGAUCCCCCCGCCCCGCCGGAGGUGGAACUGCCAUCGGAGCAGUUGGUUCUUCGGGAGGACGGCGAUCCCGACGAUACGCCGGGUUACCUCGUCGCCCUGCGGGUGUCGGUGGCUGCAGCGGCGGCUGCAGAGGCGGCGGCGGCUGCGAGGGAGGCCGCCGAGCAGGCGGCAGCGAUCCAGGCGGCGGCGGCGAUUCCGCCGGUGGUCCCGCAGGCGGAGGCGGAGGCGGCAGAGUCGUCGGACGAAGACGACAUCGACUGGGAGCGGCUAGCCCAGGUCAGCGACGACGACGACGACGGCGGCGGUGACGGCGGUGACGGUGCGGUCAUCGAUCUGCUGGGUAGCGACGACGAGGAGUAG